GUCAGGCAAGAAGGCAAUGUUUAGGGUCCAGGCUGAAAAGCCCCACGGGAACAGCAAGGGGCAGAGGCUGAGGAGGACCCCAGCCGUCUCCCUGUCGCGUCCAGGAGAGGCUUGCUGUCAUUGUUUGUGCCUGGCCUGGCCAGGAAGUGAGCCGAAGCAGCCUUGCCUCAUGGGGCCGCGCUUGAGAAUUGACCUUCGAACCCAAUGAGAAAACAGGUUCAGAGAGGGGAAGUGACUUAGCAGAGUCACACGCAUCAGAAGGGGUGGACUCGAGAGCUAAACCUCUGGACUCCGAAGACUCUGCUUGCUCCCCUGUGCUGGGCUGUCUGUCUCGCGAGCAGAGGAGCCUGAAAACAGAAUGCGUUGCCUUAGAAGGUAGUGAGUUCCUUGUCGUUGAAGGUGACCAUCUAUCAAGGAUCCCAUGGGAGGGAUUCAAUAAAAUCAAUUUAGUUUGUCCUAGGAGUAAAGAUCUUAGGCUUUGGGAUCAUAAGCCAUCUUAGGUAUUCAUUUGCUGAAGUUUUCUUUUGCUAUUUCAUUGACCUACUAUAGUCCAAGUGCUUGUCACAGGGCCAAGUACCUGGAUGGAGGACCCACAAAUUAGAGCUUUUAAAAUGGGCUGGAGUCAGUUGUGAUGGCCUAGAAAGUCCCCCAAGUCCUGAGAAUGCAUAGGCAGUUGUCCCCUGCUUAUUACACAUGGGACGAUCCUUGAGAUUUCUUCUACCCUUGAAAUUCCUUGGAAUCAACUUUGACUUUAAGUCCCUACUCCCAGGUGCUUGCCAAGCCCCAAGAGCUCACCCCUCAGUCUCAAAGUCAGUUAGAGGGCUUCCAUGCUGGGUUAAAGACAGGAUUACCACGCAGCAUCGGGGAGGAAUAUCCAUGGAAGUUGCAACCAUCUUGCUUCUUGGAGCAGAAAGAGCACGACUUUGGGUUUGAAUCUGGUGUCGUCCCUCACUGCUUGAUGGAGAUCUCACUUAAGUCACUGAACAUCUUUGGGCCUGGUUUGCAGAUCAUUGAGUGGCAUUAUCAAUACCUCACAAAGCUAUGCAGAACCUAGAAGGCCAGCCAUCUGCAGAGGUCUCUGCAUGUGCUCAGGAAACGCCUGAAAAGACCCUAAGCUCUCGCCUCUGGCUAACCUUGAGGCACUGAGCUAGCAGCAAGUGAAGGCUAAGGUGAAGUUGUACACACCCCAGCUGGUGUGGAAGGCGUGCCCCAUCACGCACACUCGGAGCCCUUCGGCAAAGACUGGGGGGCUUACCAGUUCCAGGCAUCUGAGGAAAUCUCUAUAUAUUGUAUAAAGCAAUUACAAUAAAUAUGUUGAUAGAUACACAAUAUAGAAAGAAGCGAUUUGUAUGACAAUAAUAGCAAAACAAGGCAGGGUAAGUAACGAGGUUAUAGAAAAACAACAUAUUUAUGUACUAUUGAAACUAAGUUUAUAUUAAUCCAAACUACAUUGUUAUAGGUUAAGAUGCUAAUUGUAAUAAAAUUACAAUUAAUAAGAAAAUAAAUUUUAAAAAGACAAAGGAAUUUGAAUGGUGCAUUAGAAAAUAUCUAUUUAACACAAAAGAAAGUAUAGAGGAAUAGAACAAAAAAGAUAUAAUCCAUAUAGAAAACAAAUAACAAA
rnacentral:lncRNA from 1 species